rnacentral:rRNA from 1 species
AACAAGGUCUCCGUUGGUGAACCAGCGGAGGGAUCAUUACUGAGUUUACGCUCUAUAACCCUUUGUGAACAUACCUAUAACUGUUGCUUCGGCGGGUAGGGUCUCCGUGACCCUCCCGGCCUCCCGCCCCCGGGCGGGUCGGCGCCCGCCGGAGGAUAACCAAACUCUGAUUUAACGACGUUUCUUCUGAGUGGUACAAGCAAAUAAUCAAAACUUUUAACAACGGAUCUCUUGGUUCUGGCAUCGAUGAAGAACGCAGCGAAAUGCGAUAAGUAAUGUGAAUUGCAGAAUUCAGUGAAUCAUCGAAUCUUUGAACGCACAUUGCGCCCGCCAGCAUUCUGGCGGGCAUGCCUGUUCGAGCGUCAUUUCAACCCUCAAGCUCUGCUUGGUGUUGGGGCCCUACAGCUGAUGUAGGCCCUCAAAGGUAGUGGCGGACCCUCCCGGAGCCUCCUUUGCGUAGUAACUUUACGUCUCGCACUGGGAUCCGGAGGGACUCUUGCCGUAAAACCCCCAAUUUUCCAAAGGUUGACCUCGGAUCAGGUAGGAAUACCCGCUGAACUUAAGCAUAU